CACGUAGGGUCCGAGCGUUGUCCGGAAUUAUUGGGCGUAAAGAGCUCGUAGGCGGUCUGUCGCGUCGGCUGUGAAAACACGGGGCUCAACUCCGUGCCUGCAGUCGAUACGGGCAGACUAGAGUUCGGUAGGGGAGACUGGAAUUCCUGGUGUAGCGGUGAAAUGCGCAGAUAUCAGGAGGAACACCUAUUGCGAAGGCAGCUCGCUGGGACGGUACUGACGCUGAGACGCGAAAGCGUGGGGAGCGAACAGG
rnacentral:rRNA from 1 species